rnacentral:tRNA from 1 species
CGGGCCGUUGUGUAACGGUAGCACGCAUGAUUUGGGAUCAUGUAGUCCGGGUUCAAAUCCCGGCGGCCCGA